UUCUAGCCCUGAUAGCAGUGGAAAUCCUUUUAUUCGCCGCGGCGAAUAAAAGAUUGAAACGAAUAGCAGGUAAAAGC
rnacentral:sRNA from 1 species